AAAAUAGCACCUGGAAGGUCUGGGCCACUGUUGGCGUUCCUUUUUCGCUCGUGCCUGCGGUCGCCACUGUUUCGACAGCGAGCGCUCUGCUACAUGACGUGGGUCUGGUUCGCGCCUUUGGCUGCUACCUCCAAACGGUGUUAUAUGAGUGCCUCUGGACUCUCCUGGGUUCCGGCGUGCGUCUUGUUGGUUUGGUUGUUUGUUUCUCCGGAUUCGAGCGGCUACGGCUUCAUUUCCAUGUCUUCCAUGAGGGUCCUCUGGCACACAAGCUUUGAAAAAAUUAGAGUGUUAAAAGCAGGCGAGUGCCCAUAUAAAAUCACAUAGAACUUAGAAAAAGGACAUACUGGUAUAGUGGUAUCUAACCAAGUGUUUGUACAUGAUAAAUAGGGACAAUCGGGGUCGUUCGUACUGAUCGGGGAGAGGUGAAAUUCUAAGAUCCGACCAAGACGUACAACUGCGAAAGCAUUCGACAAGGAUGUUUUCAUUAAUCAAGAACGAAAGUUAAGGGAUCGAAAAUGAUCAGAUACCGUCGUAUCUUAACCAUAAACCAUAUCAACCAUACGUUCCGGGAAGUUGUUUUUUGGACUCCCAAAGCGUCGUUCGAGAAAUCUUGAGUAUGAUUUUAGGGGGAGUAUGGUCGCAAGGCUGAAACUUAAAGGAAUUGACGGAAGGGCCCCACCCGGAGUGGAGCCUGCGGCUUAAUUUUACUCAACCGGGGAAAACUUACCAGGUCAGGACAUUAGAAGGAUUGACAGAUUGAUUGUUCUUUCAUGGUUUUAUGGAAAGUGGGGCAUGGCCGUUUUUAGUUGGGGGAUUGGUUUGUCUGGUUAAUUCCGUUAACGAGCGAGACCUUUUCCUGCUAACUAGAUUAGACGAAUAACGGCCCGGCCGUGUGUUGUCCUCCUCCGGGUUGGCAUCUCGCGCUCCGUGGCAAUAAUUGUGGUGCGGGUGUGGCAGGGGCGGGCCGCCUUCAUUGCGUUCCGGAUUGACGCUGUUAUUAAUUUUCUUAGAGGGACCUGUAUUAGCAAUAAAGGAAGGUUGAAGGCAACAACAGGUCUGUGAUGCCCUUAGAUGUCCUGGGCUGCACGCGGGUUACACUGGUAUCGAGAAAACGCACUUCAACAUUUGAGCAACAGGGCUUCAUGGCCCUGUAGUACCUUCCAUGAAAAAUGGUGGGGAACCGCUAAUCGAUGUUCCAAGACUGGGAUAGUAUCUUGCAACUAUUGUUCUUAAACGAGGAAUUCCUAGUAAGCGUAGGUCACUAACCUGCGCUGAUUACGUCCCUGCCCUUUGUACACACCGCCCGUCGCUCCUACCGAUUGAACGAUCCGGUGAGGCCUUAGGACGGGGUGGACCUGACCGGUUGAAAAGCUAGUCUGGAUCCACCUUUAUUCCCAACGAAAUUUGGUCAAACCUUAUUGUUUAGAGGAAGGAGAAGUCGUAACAAGGUUUCCGU
rnacentral:rRNA from 1 species